GGGCCGAUAGCUCAGUCCGGCAGAGCGUCUGGCUUUUAACCAGACGGUCGCGUGUUCAAAUCGCGCUCGGCCCGC
rnacentral:tRNA from 1 species